rnacentral:rRNA from 1 species
UACGUAGGGUGCAAGCGUUGUCCGGAUUUAUUGGGCGUAAAGAGCUCGUAGGCGGUUAGUCACGUCGGAUGUGAAAUCCCAGAGCUUAACUCUGGGCCUGCAUUCGAUACGGGCUGACUAGAGUGUUGUAGGGGAGAUCGGAAUUCCUGGUGUAGCGGUGAAAUGCGCAGAUAUCAGGAGGAACACCGGUGGCGAAGGCGGAUCUCUGGGCCUGUACUGACGCUGAGGAGCGAAAGCGUGGGGAGCGAACAGG